CUAGAGCUGAAACAACUAAUCGAUUUAAUCGAUUAUAAUCGAUUAUUAAAAUAGUUAACAACUUUUUUAGUCAUCGAUUAGUUGUUUAAUAAUCAUAUUUUACCGCAUAAAGUCUAUUUUUUACCACAAUCUGACAUCGGUUACAAUCUGUUAAAUUUGCCGCCAGUGUGUGGCAGUAAUGAGCCACUGAUCUACCAGUGGGGCCGUAGAAGAAGAAAUUAGCCAAUAAGUGCCCUCGGUUUUCAUGACGUAUCACGUUACUGACGCGCAUCUUGCUGUGAGAGAUGGCGGAUCAACAACAAAUACGGAAGAAAAAUAGAAGCGACAAAACAAGAGAAACCCCGGACAAAAACCUCACGAGUAUGGGAGCACUUCACUAGAUGCCUUGAAAAGACCGGUGACCUACAAAAUAUGCAAAAACCAUGGCACGACGGAAGCACGACGUCCCUAAGUGAACAUUUGAGACGAAAACGUGGGGGCUGAUGCAGCAGAGGAAUGUCCGAAAAAAACAAGCAACGAUGGACAACUACAUGGGGAACAAGACACUCACCCCCAGCAAUGCAUACCACUUACAAACUCUAUUCCAGAUUCUACAUUAUUUUUUAUGGAAUUUACCUCUUAUAUUUUGAUGCCAAAAAAUUAUUCUGGACUGAUAUUUUGCACUGUUUAGCUCAUUUUACACUGCUGACUGUGGUCAUGUGCAAUAAAAUAGAUUGCAGUCAACUGCACAA